rfam:Schistosoma curassoni strain Dakar, Senegal genome assembly, scaffold: SCTD_contig0001728
AUCCAACUGACGAGUAUCAAAUAAGACGAAACGCUCGUUCUGAAU